rnacentral:rRNA from 1 species
ACAUGCCUACAACAUAGCAUUAAUGCACUAGAUCCCAUUAUAACUUUCUAGUUAAGCGCGCUCGGUCUCGCGUAGUACUGGGAUGGGUGAUCACCUGAGAAGUCCUAGUAUUUUACAUGCC